UUUGGUUAACAUUACUGCUGCAGAUUUACUGUGCAUUCUCUACCUCCAUAUCAGGAGAUGUAACCUUUUUAACAUCUUAGGGAAAUGAGAUGAGGCUGGAUGACUUCCCACAGUAAUUCAUGGUGUCAGGCCAGGAUAAUAAUGGUUGGCAAGAUCCCCCGACAGAGUAAAUGAGGAUUUUUAUUACCAGUGGGGACACCUCAGGGCUUUCAUCCAGUAAUCCCCCUGGCUUGUGCAUUUAGCACAACUCACAGCAAGGUGCAGAAAACAACAAAAAAGAAUGCUUCUGAUAAAUCAUUUGGUUAAGUAGCCUUUAAAAGCUGGUGUUUUACUGCUGAAGGAACAGUCAGCUACUCCUUUACAGAAUUAUGAUGAUUAGUCUCUACUGCUGGGAGCAGUAUCGGAGCUGUACGUUAAAGCACUGCAGCCUCUUCUGCUUUGUUUUAGGCUUCUUUUCCUUCAUUGGCUCCCUCAUUUCUUAACUCUGCUUGUGCUGAGUGCAGAGCACUCCGAGUGUUGCUGCUUAUUUUUUGGUGAGACCAAACAGCAUCUGCCUGGAAAACAGCAGAACGGCAUGAUAAAAGCAGGGUGACUCCAGCAGGUGCACCAUGACAUGGAAAAUAUAGUUCAUCACUAUGACAAUAACUUCCUUGCGAAGACAACCUUAGAAAGUUGUGGGUGUGCAUAUAUAUCCAAUCUUACAUAUCUUGAAGAACUAGAUAAGCGAUGAGUACAGCUGCAUAAUCUCCAGUGACAGAGAUGGGAUCGGAUACUUUUGCCAUGAACUGAAAGGCAGAAAUGCCAUUCAUGGAUCAGGAUUUGGCAGAGGGGGAAGGACAGAAGAACAUGCCAUGCUGGAUAAAAUGGAGUCAGUUCUGAUUUCCAGACUGAAAUCUCAAACUUCCUAAACAUUGCACUAACACUAUUUCAUCCCUACUCAGUCCAUCGCCAAAUAUGUUUGUCUACUGUCCUAAUUACUUAAUGUGAUGAGCAGCCUGUAGAUACUGUGGUAUUAUUUCUCCUUUACAAACUUCACCUGGGAUGGAAGCACCUGACCUGCUCUGUCCACAGCUGGACUUAGUACUCCGUCUGCUCAGUGAGGAGGUGUACCUUGGGAAGCCUUCUCCUAUGAGCACUUCAGCAGCAGUCCUUACAGCCACACCUACUGACUAUGCCAAGCACAGCAACAAUUUGACAGGCUUUCCUACAAAACAGCCGUGUGGAGGCUACCCAGUGAGCCGCAGUGAGGUGUGCUAGUUCAAAGGCGCUUGCUUGGCACUCUUUCCAGCUGGUGCAAGUGAUAAAAAGAGAGGAGUGAGUGCAGCUCAUUAGCUCGUGGGUUGUGUUGUCAGCAGUGGGCAAACGAAACAAACAUCUCCAAAAUGAGGUAAAUGUUUUCUUCUCACAGUCCCCACUCACUUUUAUCCUUUGCUUCAGCUCACUAAAUACUUUUUGGCUCUCACUUUAUUUUGUAUCAUACUGCAGUGUCUAUGCUGGGAACAGAAGGAAAAUCAGGCCCGUGAGCUCAUCAGGCAUCCUGCAGACUGACUUUGGAAGAUUUUUGGUCCAAUUGGCCAUCAAGGCAUGGUACUACUAGCAAAGCCAUAGUCAAGGGCAAGAACACUGGUUUCUUAUACAAAUAAAUGUGUUCAUCCACUAUUUUCUUUUACCUUUACACCUAGUACACCACUGUAGUUUAAUUUGAUAGUGCAUAGCCAUCAUUGUGCUUUUCCAGUGCGCAGGGAUUUUAGUUUAUAUAAGAUGCAAGCCCAGAAGGUAGCUGUUACCAGUUGCAAUAAGUGGCAUAAACAUUUAUUAGAAACUGAACCUGUUUCUGCUAUGCAAUCCCUGCUACUGUAUCCACUCUAUUGGAAUAUAACAUUCCUCUUUUAUAGUUUCAUGGUAUGUUCUUAUCUUCUAAGUCUGGACAGGAGUAAAGACAGGAGUGUAAUGAUGAUCAUUUUUAGUUGUAUUAAUGCAGCAGAAUUUAUUCUUAAUGCUACACAGCCGGAUUCCUCUACGCAGGGACAAAGGAGAUCAAUGGGCAGAUGACCAACAGCUGCAAUAUGUGGUGGAGGGAAUCUGGGGGACAGCUUCAAAUCAGCUUUUCUAUCAGUUCUUCAGAGGCAAAGAACAUGGAUAAUCAAUUGUGCUAAGAAUCUAAAACAAUUUUAAUUAGGUAUUAAGGGUUCAGUCAAUGCCUUUCUUGCCUGCACUGCUGCUAGAUCUUCAGUAAAAUGAGGGACAUCUUCGACAUGUAACUCAGGACACAGAGCCAUGUGUGUAAAGGUCUCAUCUGUGAGAGAAAACGUUUUGUAGAAAAAAGAUGUAAAUACUAGGUGAUUUAUUUAGGGUUGUGAAUAUUGUCAGAAUCAUCUCUUCAGAAUGUUAUCGUGUAUUGCCUACCACUAGUAAGUUUUUUGGCACACCUAGAUGAUCUUGUUAGGAUGGGUGGGUUUGGAAUUCUUUUGUGAAAGGUGUUGCUCCUGCCUUGCUCUCAAGAGUUAAAAGAUGGGAGCAUCACGCCUUUUAAAUUUAGUGGAAGCACAGUCUGGCAUUUCCAAACCUGUCGUGUGAAUCCAGGGAUGGGUGCAUGUGGUGCUGAGGAACUGGAAAAAUGAGAGCAGUGCUUGCAGCUAGAUGGGUACCACCUGCAUUCACAGUUUUGAUAAAAAGGAGGGGGAAAACACACACCUUGGAAGCAGGCACAUAGCAAACUAACAAGAGAAA